rnacentral:rRNA from 1 species
CCUACGGGAGGCAGCAGUGAGGCAUAUUGGUCAAUGGGAGAGAUCCUGAACCAGCCAAGCCGCGUGAGGGAAGACGGCCCUAUGGGUUGUAAACCUCUUUUGUCGGAGAACAAAACCCGGGACGUGUCCCGGACUGCGUGUAUCCGAAGAAAAAGCAUCGGCUGACUCCGUGCCAGCAGCCGCGGUAAUACGGAGGAUGCGAUCGUUAUCCGGAUUUAUUGGGUUUAAAGGGUGCGUGGGCGGUCCGUUAAGUCAGCGGGAAAAUUGCGGGGCUAAACCCCGUCGAGCCGUUGAAACUGGCAGACUUGAGUUGGCGAGAAGUACGCGGAAUGCGUGGUGUAGCGGUGAAAUGCAUAGAUGUCGCGCAGAACUCCGAUUGCGAAGGUAGCGUACCGGCGCCAGACUGACGCUGAGGCACGAAAGCGUGGGGAUCGAACAGGAUUAGAUACCCGAGUAGUC